rnacentral:RNase_P_RNA from 11 species
UCAGUUACAAUCUAGCAUCUGGGGCACACACAACGAGUAUCUGAUUACUCUUUUUACAACGCCCCGGGAAGGUCUGAGAUAUGGUCAAAGCUCCCUUGUUGCUGUAACAACAUACAAAAGCCGAGAGGUGAUUGUGUGUCGCGGAGCUUCAUUUUCUAGCCGGAAACUUGUGUAAUCACAAGGCGAAAGUACCAGAAAUGCUGCAGUAUGGCUGUUGCCGCACCGCUUGCCGUUUGCCGCCGGCCAUGUUGCAUUGAAAACUUUCGUGACCAGCAAUUUAAGUGCGAUGUGCUUGCUGCAAACCUUGCCUGAGGUGCGCAGAACUCAAUUCAGACUAAUCUGUGACUGA